rnacentral:rRNA from 1 species
GACGAACGCUGGCGGCGUGCUUAACACAUGCAAGUCGAACGGAAAGGCCCUGCUUUUGUGGGGUGCUCGAGUGGCGAACGGGUGAGUAACACGUGAGUAACCUGCCCUUGACUUUGGGAUAACUUCAGGAAACUGGGGCUAAUACCGGAUAGGAGCUCCUGCUGCAUGGUGGGGGGUGGAAAGUUUCGGCGGUUGGGGAUGGACUCGCGGCUUAUCAGCUUGUUGGUGGGGUAGUGGCUUACCAAGGCUUUGACGGGUAGCCGGCCUGAGAGGGUGACCGGCCACAUGGGGACUGAGAUACGGCGCAGACUCCUACAGGAGGCAGCAGUGGGGAAUAUUGCACAAUGGGCGGAAGCCUGAAGCAGCAACGCCACGUGCGGGAUGACGGCCUUCGGGUUGUAAACCGCUUUCGCCUGUGACGAAGCGUGAGUGACGGUAAUGGGUAAAGAAGCACCGGCUAACUACGUG